AUGACCAUGCUGAUGCAUUGCUGAUGUGUUCUAACGGUCAGUUUAUCUCACAGUGACACUUGCUGUUUUUCAGCAAAAUCAUGACAACAAAUUUCAUUAACGGGUGGAGGGAGUCGAAGGGGAGACGCGCCGGUGCAUUUCCACUGGCUGAGAAGGGGAGGGUCUUUUAUUAAUCCCGCAUGAGACUCAAUUCAGUACAGUGGGCUACAGACAGACCAAGAUACGGUAGCCUCGUCGGGGAAAAACAGACGCAGAAUCUCACAGCAGUACUAGAAAUAAAACGCCCGUGGAGUAUUUAAUACAUCCUGACCUCGUUUAAGACGGCGAGGAGCGCAUCGCUUUCUUUGGAAAUGUAUUAUUAACGUCCAUUGCGCUGUUAUGGUGGUGGUCUACAGCGACAGCAAUAUCGCAAGCAACCGUUAUUUACAAAACAUCUUUCUUUCACCGACGUCGCCGAUGUUUUAUACGUAAGACUUUCCAGCGUCUGGUGAACAUCUCUGGGAGUGGUAGGUCGUAAAACUUCACUGGAUGCUGGGAUGGUACUUCUGAGAACUCUUCCCAUUAGGACCUGAGAUGGAGCAUAGGACAUACCUGUGAUAGGAGUAUUCCUCAGCGAGAGUAGAGCAAGAUCUGCACACCGAGGCAAAGUGAUUGCGUUUUUCGCAGGCAUGACACGUGUCUCCGAAGGCUGGACAUUGUCGAGGUAGAUGAGAUUUACCACACUUCUUGCAAUUAAAC